rnacentral:tRNA from 1 species
AGUCCUGGGGGGGAAGGUUGCCCCCCUUUUCGGGUUUACAACCCGGGGAUAUGUAAAACGCACAUAACCCUGGUGUUGCUAUACCUGGCAGCGGGU